rnacentral:rRNA from 1 species
UACGUAGGGAGCAAGCGUUGUCCGGAAUCAUUGGGCGUAAAGCGCGCGUAGGCGGCCUCAUAAGUCCGUUGUGAAAGUCAAAAGGCUCAACCUUUGAAAGCCGAUGGAUACUGUGAGGCUAGAGUCCGGAAGAGGCGAGUGGAAUUCCUGGUGUAGCGGUGGAAUGCGCAGAUAUCAGGAGGAACACCAAUAGCGAAGGCAGCUCGCUGGGACGGUACUGACGCUAAGGCGCGAAAGCGUGGGGAGCGAACGAGGA